CUGCAACUAUUUGUCUACGUCCUUGUUACUCUGUGUACCAAUCUGUCUCUUAUUAAUGACCUGACCUUCUCACCUGCUGAUUUUGAUGGUGGUGGACUUUGCAAAAAGGAUGGAAAUGGCUGUAGUGAACACUGUUUUCCAGAAGAGGUUCCCAAGUAGUUCCCUGUGCUGAAACUGUUGCAUCUGAAUUCACCGCUCUGGGUUACCAUGAUUUAGUCCCCCUGGAGUUCCGAGAACUGUGGGAAAACUCUCAGCAUGAGUGUUUCUGUAAGCAUGUGUGCAUGUCUUUGGGUUUUAGCUCAGUGAUAAAGGUAUGCUUGUGUUCAAGAAGUCGACUUGUUCAAGACGAGGGCACAAUACAUCCUUUUCUCUGUCAUGCAGGUCCAUGGAGUCAAAUAAGACUCAAUCACUACAAUGCAGUGGUGUUCUUUACACAUGCAACAAUGUACACCUGCUUGUGUAUAGCCAGCCCAAUGACUAUAAAUGUUUAUAUGCAUUUCUUAUUAAUGGGUAUCAUUAAUUUAAUGAAUGAUCACACUAUACAAUGGAACAUAGAUAGAAUCACGGCUACAAUUAUGUAUACUGUAUUAAAAGGGCUGAAUGGAGCAACACUAUUUCAUCAAUCUGCAACCAUAGGUUAUUGUUAUGACCACGAGCUGAAAUUUGGUUUGUGUUGAUAAGAAAAGAAAUAACAAAAGGAAUAGGAAUAUGUUCAUUUUCAAUCCUUCGGAAAA